rnacentral:rRNA from 1 species
GACAGAGGUGCCAAGCGUUAGGCGGAAUCACUGGGCUUAAAGCGUGUGUAGGCGGACUUCUAAGUACCUUGUGAAAUCCCACGGCUCACCCGUGGAACUGCUCGGUAUACUGGUCGUCUUGAGCCUUCUAGGGGCGAGUGGAACAAAUGGUGGAGCGGUGAAAUGCGUAGAUAUCAUUUGGAACGCCAAUGGUGAAAACAACUCGCUGGGGAAGUGCUGACGCUGAGACACGAAAGCCAGGGGAGCGAACGGG